rnacentral:rRNA from 1 species
CCUACGGGAGGCUGCAGUGGGGAAUAUUGGACAAUUGGGGGAACCCUGAUCCAGCCAUGCCGCGUGUGUGAAGAAGGCCCUCGGGUUGUAAAGCACUUUCAGUGAGGAAGAACGCCUGGUGGUUAAUACCCAUCAGGAAAGACAUCACUCACAGAAGAAGCACCGGCUAACUCCGUGCCAGCAGCCGCGGUAAUACGGAGGGUGCGAGCGUUAAUCGGAAUUACUGGGCGUAAAGCGCGCGUAGGUGGCUUGAUAAGCCGGUUGUGAAAGCCCCGGGCUCAACCUGGGAACGGCAUCCGGAACUGUCAAGCUAGAGUGCAGGAGAGGAAGGUAGAAUUCCCGGUGUAGCGGUGAAAUGCGUAGAGAUCGGGAGGAAUACCAGUGGCGAAGGCGGCCUUCUGGACUGACACUGACACUGAGGUGCGAAAGCGUGGGUAGCAAACAGGAUUAGAUACCCUUGUAGUC